AGAAGGCUAUGUUGGCCGGGCGACGGUUGUCCCGGUUUAAGCGUGUAGGCUGGUUUUCCAGGCAAAUCCGGAAAACUAAGGCUGAGGCGUGAUGACGAGGCACUACGGUGCUGAAGCAACAAAUGCCCUGCUUCCAGGAAAAGCCUCUAAGCAUCAGGUAACAUCAAAUCGUACCCCAAACCGACACAGGUGGUCAGGUAGAGAAUACCAAGGCGCUUGAGAGAACUCGGGUGAAGGAACUAGGCAAAAUGGUGCCGUAACUUCGGGAGAAGGCACGCUGAUAUGUAGGUGAAGUCCCUCGCGGAUGGAGCUGAAAUCAGUCGAAGAUACCAGCUGGCUGCAACUGUUUAUUAAAAACACAGCACUGUGCAAACACGAAAGUGGACGUAUACGGUGUGACGCCUGCCCGGUGCCGGAAGGUUAAUUGAUGGGGUCAGCGCAAGCGAAGCUCUUGAUCGAAGCCCCGGUAAACGGCGGCCGUAACUAUAACGGUCCUAAGGUAGCGAAAUUCCUUGUCGGGUAAGUUCCGACCUGCACGAAUGGCGUAAUGAUGGCCAGGCUGUCUCCACCCGAGACUCAGUGAAAUUGAACUCGCUGUGAAGAUGCAGUGUACCCGCGGCAAGACGGAAAGACCCCGUGAACCUUUACUAUAGCUUGACACUGAACAUUGAGCCUUGAUGUGUAGGAUAGGUGGGAGGCUUUGAAGUGUGGACGCCAGUCUGCAUGGAGCCGACCUUGAAAUACCACCCUUUAAUGUUUGAUGUUCUAACGUUGACCCGUAAUCCGGGUUGCGGACAGUGUCUGGUGGGUAGUUUGACUGGGGCGGUCUCCUCCUAAAGAGUAACGGAGGAGCACGAAGGUUGGCUAAUCCUGGUCGGACAUCAGGAGGUUAGUGCAAUGGCAUAAGCCAGCUUGACUGCGAGCGUGACGGCGCGAGCAGGUGCGAAAGCAGGUCAUAGUGAUCCGGUGGUUCUGAAUGGAAGGGCCAUCGCUCAACGGAUAAAAGGUACUCCGGGGAUAACAGGCUGAUACCGCCCAAGAGUUCAUAUCGACGGCGGUGUUUGGCACCUCGAUGUCGGCUCAUCACAUCCUGGGGCUGAAGUAGGUCCCAAGGGUAUGGCUGUUCGCCAUUUAAAGUGGUACGCGAGCUGGGUUUAGAACGUCGUGAGACAGUUCGGUCCCUAUCUGCCGUGGGCGCUGGAGAACUGAGGGGGGCUGCUCCUAGUACGAGAGGACCGGAGUGGACGCAUCACUGGUGUUCGGGUUGUCAUGCCAAUGGCACUGCCCGGUAGCUAAAUGCGGAAGAGAUAAGUGCUGAAAGCAUCUAAGCACGAAACUUGCCCCGAGAUGAGUUCUCCCUGACUCCUUGAGAGUCCUGAAGGAACGUUGAAG
rnacentral:rRNA from 1 species